GGCUUCUGUCCUGACCUGUCUCUUGGCCAUGCAAUAAUCCAUAUGGUAAUCUAAGCAGGGCAGGUUUGGCCCAGGGAGUGGAGGUCUGCACUUGCCAGGACUGCAUGUGUCAGGGCUGGAGUGCAAUGGCAUGAUCUUGGCUCACUGCAACCUCCGCCUCCUGGGUUCAAGCUAUCCUGCUGCCUCAGCCCCUCGAGUAGCUGGAAUUACAGAUACUUUUGCCUUAUUGGAAGAAGUUUCAUAAUAAUUGCUGGCUCUCACCUAUGGCAACUCAGUUAUUUCCUUCAGAUUUUGACCUCAAGAAAUCCCAGGCAAUAUCAUACUGAAUGGGCAAAAACUGGAAGCAUUCACUUUGAAAACUGGCACAAGAAAGACAAGGAUGUCCUCUCUCACCACUCCGAUUCAACAUAGUAUUGGAAGUUCUGGCCAGGGCAAUCAGGGAGGGACACAGUCUCCAUCUCAUUGCCCAGACUGAAGUGCAGUGAUGUGAUCAUAGCUUACUGUAGCCACAACUUCUGGGUCUCAAGUGAUUCUCCCAUCUCAUCCUCCUGAGUAGCUGGGACUAUAGGCAUGCACUACCAUUCUGGCUAAUUUUUUGUACUUUUACUAGAGACAAGGUUUUGCCAUGUUGACUAGGCUAAUUUGGAACUCCUAGGCACAAACAAUCUGCCAGCCUUGGCCUCCCAAGUGCUAGAAUUACAAGCAUAAGCCAUUGAACCCAGCUGAAAGAAAGAAUACUUUUUAAGAAAAUAUUGGGAAGAGUGGCUUUUGAAAACAAUAUUUAGAUAUUCAAUAGGUAGAUUAUUUAAUCUGAUUCUAUGUUCAAGUUAUUGUUGAACAAGUUUAUAUAUAUAUAUAUGAUAUAAAUAAAACACUACAAGGUAUCACUAAAGUAGAAAGAAAAAAGAAGUUAAAACUCAUUAAGAAAAUAUAAACAAUGAGUCUCUGAUACUGGAAAAGCUGGAAGAUUUUCUUAUUUUCAAAUACGUAAUUUUGUGAAGCUUUUAAGGCUUAAGAUUAAUUUUUUUCCUUAAUUUGCAUUUUCCAACUUUUGCUUGUAAUAGCUCUGUCAGCCCAGACACCAUGUAUAAUUUCGUCUCUAGGUAUAUAGGGCAUCUGAUUCUUACAGAAUCCCAGAUUACUAGAUAUCAGUUUUGAGUUUUACAAACCCCAGAUAACUUAACCACAUCAUAAUCCUUGUUUACUUUCUCCUGUCAACAAAGGACACACUUUAUAUUGCUAAGAAAUAUUUUCCUUCUUUAUUGGCCAAAAGUUAAUUUUCUAUUUACUUCUUCUUUCUUUUGCUGUCACAAUCUUCUGCUCAAUUACUUGUAUAAAUUGAAUAAAAGUAAUAAAUUAUUCAUUUUGCCUUUUGUUUUUUAUAAUUUCAACUUUUAUUUUAGAUUCAGG
rnacentral:lncRNA from 1 species